AGCAGUUGGUGUUUACUUGUUCAGGCAAAAAGGCUAUUGAUGCAUGAGUAAAUUUCAGGUGAAGAGAGAGAGAGAGAGAGAGAGAGGAAAGGCCAGUAACAAGAAAAUUGGUAAAUUUACAUUACCCACGAUGUCGAUAAAUUCCCUAUUUUCCGCAGUAUACGUAUCCUUCUUCGAACGUGAUGCCAGUUUUCUAUGGAAACUAGAUGCUUCUGCACUCUAGUUUUCGUAGUGCUGAUUAUUAUGAAGCACGGAAACAAACGAGUAGCAGAAAAACACUCAUUUGCUAGAUGCGUGUAAUCUAACGAACAUUCACAUACCAGGAAAAAAAGAAAAA